rnacentral:rRNA from 1 species
GGUUUUGGAUGGACUCGCGGCCUAUCAGCUUGUUGGUGAGGUAAUGGCUCACCAAGGCGACGACGGGUAGCCGGCCUGAGAGGGUGACCGGCCACACUGGGACUGAGACACGGCCCAGACUCCUACGGGAGGCAGCAGUGGGGAAUAUUGCACAAUGGGCGCAAGCCUGAUGCAGCGACGCCGCGUGAGGGAUGACGGCCUUCGGGUUGUAAACCUCUUUCAGUAGGGAAGAAGCGAAAGUGACGGUACCUGCAGAAGAAGCACCGGCUAACUACGUGCCAGCAGCCGCGGUAAUACGUAGGGUGCGAGCGUUAUCCGGAAUUAUUGGGCGUAAAGAGCUCGUAGGCGGUUUGUCGCGUCUGUCGUGAAAGUCCGGGGCUUAACCCCGGAUCUGCGGUGGGUACGGGCAGACUAGAGUGCAGUAGGGGAGACUGGAAUUCCUGGUGUAGCGGUGGAAUGCGCAGAUAUCAGGAGGAACACCGAUGGCGAAGGCAGGUCUCUGGGCUGUAACUGACGCUGAGGAGCGAAAGCAUGGGGAGCGAACAGGAUUAGAUACCCUGGUAGUCCAUGCCGUAAACGUUGGGCACUAGGUGUGGGGACCAUUCCACGGUUUCCGCGCCGCAGCUAACGC